rnacentral:rRNA from 1 species
GACGGAGGAUGCAAGUGUUAUCCGGAAUCACUGGGCGUAAAGGGUGCGCAGGUGGCCAAGUGUGUUAGGCGUGAAAGCCCGGGGCUUAACCCCGGAAUUGCACCUAAAAACUACUCGGCUAGAGCAUUGGAGAGGGGAGCAGAAUUCAUGGUGUAGCAGUGAAAUGCGUAGAUAUCAUGAGGAAUACCAGAGGCGAAGGCGGCUCCCUGGACAAAUAGCUGACACUCAGGCACGAAAAGCGUGGGGGAGCAAAAAGGG